rnacentral:misc_RNA from 1 species
AAGAAGGGGGGGUUGUUGUGGGGGGUCGAACAGGGGUUGGAUGAACUUUGAUGUCAACCUGAAGACUUCCAGAAAGCAUGGUUUUACUCAGUACCAAUAUUUAAAGAAAUUGCAAAUGUUAAACUGAGACUCUUUAUUUUAUAUCCAUUAAUACAUUAUGAUCAAACAGAAUUUAAGAUCCAACCAACCUCAUUUUUCUUUUGCAGUUUCACUAAACACAAGUAACAUGUUUACUGAGACACACACAGGACAUCCUUCUCAAUUCUUCUCUAUCAUAAUGCAGUUAUCAUAGAAAAAUUAAAACAAAGUACAUAAUAAUUAAUUGAUAAUGGCAGUAUGCUAGUUGAGAAACAAAAUUCAGCAUCAUGUUUGUGGCCAAAAGAUGAAACUUACCUGAUAGAAACCAACAGAGUUGAAACCCAAGCUAAGAUUCAAAAGCCCGAUGGAUAUCCCAUUUAAUAUGCCAAAUCCCA